rnacentral:rRNA from 1 species
GAUGAACGCUGGCGGCGUGCCUAAUACAUGCAAGUCGAGCGAAUGGAUUAAGAGCUUGCUCUUAUGAAGUUAGCGGCGGACGGGUGAGUAACACGUGGGUAACCUGCCCAUAAGACUGGGAUAACUCCGGGAAACCGGGGCUAAUACCGGAUAACAUUUUGAACCGCAUGGUUCGAAAUUGAAAGGCGGCUUCGGCUGUCACUUAUGGAUGGACCCGCAUCGCAUUAGCUAGUUGGUGAGGUAACGGCUCACCAAGGCAACGAUGCCUAGCCGACCUGAGAGGGUGAUCGGCCACACUGGGACUGAGACACGGCCCAGACUCCUACGGGAGGCAGCAGUAGGGAAUCUUCCGCAAUGGACGAAAGUCUGACGGAGCAACGCCGCGUGAGUGAUGAAGGCUUUCGGGUCGUAAAACUCUGUUGUUAGGGAAGAACAAGUGCUAGUUGAAUAAGCUGGCACCUUGACGGUACCUAACCAGAAAGCCACGGCUAACUACGUGCCAGCCGCCGCCGUAA